AGUGUGCUGAAUCGCCUUAGGCUCAGUAACACGUGGAUAACCUACCCUUGAGACGGGGAUAAACCCGGGAAACUGGGUAUAAUACCCGAUAGAUCUCGACUGCUGGAAUGCAUCGAGCUUAAAAGCUCCGGCGCUCAAGGAUGGGUCUGCGGCCUAUCAGGUAGUAGUGGGUGUAGCGUACCUACUAGCCUACGGCGGGUACGGGUUGUGAGAGCAAGAGCCCGGAGAUGGAUUCUGAGACACGAAUCCAGGCCCUACGGGGUGCAGCAGGCGCGAAAACUUUACAAUGCUGGAAACAGCGAUAAGGGGACCUCGAGUGCCAGGUUACAAAUCUGGCUGUCGUGAUGCCUAAAAAGCAUUGCAUAGCAAGGGCCGGGCAAGACCGGUGCCAGCCGCCGCGGUAACACCGGCGGCUCGAGUGGUAACCGUUAUUAUUGGGUCUAAAGGGUCUGUAGCCGGCCGGAUAAGUCUCUUGGGAAAUCUGGCAGCUUAACUGUCAGGCUUUCAGGAGAUACUGUCUGGCUCGAGGCCGGGAGAGGUGAGAGGUACUUCAGGGGUAGGGGUGAAAUCUUGUAAUCCUUGAAGGACCACCAGUGGCGAAGGCGUCUCACCAGAACGGACCUGACGGCAAGGGACGAAAGCUAGGGGCACGAACCGGAUUAGAUACCCGGGUAGUCCUAGCCGCAAACGAUACUCGCUAGGUGUCGGCAACGGUGCGACCGUUGUCGGUGCCGUAGGGAAGCCGUGAAGCGA
rnacentral:rRNA from 1 species